rnacentral:rRNA from 1 species
UACAGAGGUCUCAAGCGUUGUUCGGAUUCAUUGGGCGUAAAGGGUGCGUAGGCGGCGCGGUAAGUCGGGUGUGAAAUCUCGGGGCUUAACUCCGAAACUGCAUUCGAUACUGCCGUGCUUGAGGACUGGAGAGGAGACUGGAAUUUACGGUGUAGCGGUGAAAUGCGUAGAUAUCGUAAGGAAGACCAGUGGCGAAGGCGGGUCUCUGGCCCGAUACUGACGCUGAGGCACGAAAGCGUGGGGAGCAAACAGG